GGGUCGAUGGCGAAGUUGGUUAUCGCAUCCGUCUCACAAUUUCCUCAAUUAUUGUACACACGGAAGGUCCUCAGUUCGAUCCUGGGUCGACCCA